ACCAGCUGAUGAGUUCUAACUAGGACGAAACUUGAGUCUUGGAU
rnacentral:hammerhead_ribozyme from 1 species